rnacentral:rRNA from 1 species
UACGAAGGGGGCUAGCGUUGCUCGGAAUUACUGGGCGUAAAGCGCACGUAGGCGGCUGCUCAAGUCGAAUGUGAAACCUCGAGGCUUAACCUCGAGCCUGCAUUCGAUACUGGGCGGCUAGAGUGUGGUAGGGGAGACUGGAAUUCCUGGUGUAGCGGUGAAAUGCGCAGAUAUCAGGAGGAACACCGGUGGCGAAGGCGGGUCUCUGGGCCAUAACUGACGCUGAGGAGCGAAAGCGUGGGGAGCGAACAG